AUACUUACCUGGCGUAGGGAUACCGUGAUCAUGCAGGCGGUUCCCCCAGGGUGAGGCUGCUCUAUUGCACUGCGGAGUGUUUGACCCUUGCGAGGGAGCUUGCUAGAACCAUCUGUUCUAUAAAUUUUAAGUAGUUAGCGAAGCCCACACUCUUC